AUGAACUCCAGUGAAGCGCACUGUGUGCGGGGGUCCAGGCCGCCAACCCUGCCCCCUCUCUCCAGCAGGACCCUGGGACACCCCUCUUUCCUGCCCCUGUACCUGACUGCGGGCUACCCACACCCUCACCCGGACUGCCGCGACGUCCACCCCAUCACCCCGGAGGAGUUCUUCUACUCGGACCCGACCAUGAGCUGUGGGAGGAGGGUCCCCAACUCAGUGAGUGAGCUGAAGGUCUUCGAUUGCUUCCAGCUCAACACUCCCUCACCCGUUAUGUCUGCCUGCCCGGCCCCACCAACCGGUCCAGACCCAUUCAGAUCUGAACCACAACCCACCAGGGAUCUGGGCGACUUCACCUCCUUCAAAAUAAAUACCCUCCAACCUCCAGUGCAGCCAAGCCGCGUCGUCAUCCAGCUUACCCAGGAGGAGGACCAGGCUAUUACUAACCUCCUGAAACUACACCACCAGGAGCCUAUACACAGUGACGAGACCCUUACUGCUCCGCAAACGGACUUCCUUAGUCACGCUGAUCCUAUGGACUCCUCUUCAGCUCUGGAGGUUUACAAGCCCUUCUGUAGCGAUGUGCAACAUCCGAGCGAGGCCAGUUCGCGGGGUCAGGGAAGAUGUUGGUCAGAUACGGAGCUCGAGGCAGCCAACACCCUCUUGAGUGGCUUUAGCCUGAUGGAGGAGGACAGAAUCUGGAGCCAAAACCACAACAAAUCAGACAUACCACUUCCUAAUCCUCUGCCAUACCAGCGGCAAAGAUCUGAGACUCCUCCUGUAGCAAUAACUGCUGGUUGCACUCAAAAGAACAUCGGCUACAUAAGCUUUAGUUGUGUCAGAGAAUGUGGAGAACCAGGCUGGGAGGAUUUCGUGUUUCUGGAGGGGAGGAAUGCUGAUAAUGUUCACGUGCAAGUUUGUCAGGAAUACAUGGCAUCGCCUUUACCCCCGAGGCUGUCUUCAUACCGAAAGCCAAAGAGCAGCUCGAGUGUCUCUGGAGAUUUCUCAGAGGUGAAGGAAUGGAUGCUGUCGGACUCUGAGGGAGAUGCUGUGCAUGUACUCCUGAACCUUGGAGACAUGGGAGUGAUGGAUAUUGUCCAGUGA
rnacentral:lncRNA from 15 species